rnacentral:rRNA from 1 species
GAUGAAUGCUGGCGGCGCGCCUAACACAUGCAAGUCGAGCGGCAGCGCAGUCUUCGGACUGGCGGCGAGCGGCGGACGGCUGAGUAACGCGUGGGAACGUACCCCAAAGUGAGGAAUAACUGCCCGAAAGGGUAGCUAAUGCCGCAUAUGGUCUUCGGAUUAAAGGAUUUAUCCGCUUUGGGAACGGCCUGCGUACGAUUAGAUUGUUGGUGAGGUAAUGGCUCACCAAGUCGACGAUCGUUAACUGGUCUGAGAGGAUGAUCAGUCAGACUGGAACUGAGACACGGUCCAGACUCCUACGGGAGGCAGCAGUGAGGAAUCUUCCACAAUGGGCGAAAGCCUGAUGGAGCAACGCCGCGUGCAGGAUGAAGGCCUUCGGGUCGUAAACUGCUUUUAUAAGUGAAGAAUAUGACGGUAACUUAUGAAUAAGCACCGGCUAACUACGUGCCAGCCGCCGCGGUA